AUAAUUACCUGGACGGGGUCUAUGUGCGAUCAAGAAGGCUCAUGGCCUAUAUCAAUGGUUCACAUUGCACAUAGUGAAUGUGUUGAUCUACCAUCUCCCUUGGGAGAGUGGACAUCAAAAUUUGUGUUAGAGGGGGUACGCGUUCGCGCGGCCGCUGC
rfam:Triticum urartu cultivar G1812 contig704974, whole genome shotgun sequence.